GAUAUGGGUCCUGUCUUUGUAUUCAUUAUACUUUGAGAAGGAAUGAACAUAGAAUUUCUAAUUUCUAGACAUGGCUUUCUUACCCACAAGUUCUCAAUUAUUUGUAUAAGUGUAAUUACUGUAUUAGCUGGAAUAUUUAUUUUCACUUUUUUUUUCUCCUUUGUAAUUCUUAGCUUGGUGUAAAAAUUGCCAAAGCAGUUGCCUGCCACAACUUUGUAAAAGCCAAAAAGGAGGUUGAAAAUUCACAGGCUGCCCGAAAAAAGAAGAAACUUGCAUGGGGGUUUGAAGCAAAGAAGAGAUGGGAAACCAAAAGCAACAUGGGAUACAUGUAACUUGCCAGAGUGCUUCAAGACAUUUGUAGACUCAAAUGCUCAAUUUACUGAGAAUGUUUUCCUGCCUAUGUUAAUAUGUCAGAAAAUUGAUAGCACUAAAACAAAAAUAAGCAUAAAAUUUGGGAUUUUGAUUAUCAGCUCUUUUCAGUCUUUCUUUAAGGACUUUGUCCUAUUGAAGUGAAUAAAAUGAAGCAUUCUGUUAUUUGUAUAAGAAAUGUAAGAAAAAAAAUAUAGAAAGAAGAGGAUAGGAUUUUGUUUAUUUGUAUGGAUGGACCCUUGGUAUAAAAUCACUUUUGGCGCUUUCCAUUCAUUUGGUUUAGCACAGCCAGUGAGCUUCUCGUACUUUCUUUCUUUUUUUUUUUUUUUUUGAGACAGAGCCUCGCUUGCUCUGUCACCCAGGCUAGAGUGCAGUAGCACGAUCUUGGCUCACUGCAACCACUGCU
rnacentral:lncRNA from 10 species